GAUGAACGCUAGCGGCAGGCUUAAUACAUGCAAGUCGAGGGGCAGCAGGACUGUAGCAAUACAGUUGCUGGCGACCGGCAAACGGGUGCGGAACACGUACGCAACCUACCCAAAACUGGGGGAUAGCCCGGGGAAACCCGGAUUAAUACCUCGUAACCUUUUUAAGUGGCAUCACUUGAUAAGUAUAGCUCCGGCGGUUUUGGAUGGGCGUGCGCCUGAUUAGGUAGUUGGUGCGGGUAACGGCCCACCAAGCCUGCGAUCAGUAACUGGUGUGAGAGCACGACCAGUCACACGGGCACUGGGACACGGGCCCGACUCCUACGGGAGGAAGCAGUAAGGAAUAUUGGUCAAUGGACGCAAGUCUGAACCAGCCAUGCCGCGUGAAGGAUGAAGGUCCUCUGGAUUGUAAACUUCUUUUAUGGGGGACGAAACCCGGAUAUUCUUAUCCGAUUGACGGUACCUCAGGAAUAAGCACCGGCUAACUCCGUG
rnacentral:rRNA from 1 species